GUUUGUGACCACACAACCCUGAAUGUGCUGAUCCCAUCUGAUCUUGGAAGAUAAGCAGAAUCAGGCCUUGUUAGUGCUUAGAUGAGGGGAAAAAAAAAUUUCCUUUGUGAAGAUUCAUACUAUAACCA
rnacentral:rRNA from 1 species